rnacentral:rRNA from 1 species
AGCGGUAGCACAGAGAGCUUGCUCUCGGGUGACGAGCGGCGGACGGGUGAGUAAUGUCUGGGAAACUGCCUGAUGGAGGGGGAUAACUACUGGAAACGGUAGCUAAUACCGCAUAACGUCGCAAGACCAAAGUGGGGGACCUUCGGGCCUCAUGCCAUCAGAUGUGCCCAGAUGGGAUUAGCUAGUAGGUGGGGUAACGGCUCACCUAGGCGACGAUCCCUAGCUGGUCUGAGAGGAUGACCAGCCACACUGGAACUGAGACACGGUCCAGACUCCUACGGGAGGCAGCAGUGGGGAAUAUUGCACAAUGGGCGCAAGCCUGAUGCAGCCAUGCCGCGUGUGUGAAGAAGGCCUUCGGGUUGUAAAGCACUUUCAGCGGGGAGGAAGGCGUUAAGGUUAAUAACCUUGGCGAUUGACGUUACCCGCAGAAGAAGCACCGGCUAACUCCGUGCCAGCAGCCGCGGUAAUACGGAGGGUGCAAGCGUUAAUCGGAAUUACUGGGCGUAAAGCGCACGCAGGCGGUCUGUCAAGUCGGAUGUGAAAUCCCCGGGCUCAACCUGGGAACUGCAUUCGAAACUGGCAGGCUAGAGUCUUGUAGAGGGGGGUAGAAUUCCAGGUGUAGCGGUGAAAUGCGUAGAGAUCUGGAGGAAUACCGGUGGCGAAGGCGGCCCCCUGGACAAAGACUGACGCUCAGGUGCGAAAGCGUGGGGAGCAAACAGGAUUAGAUACCCUGGUAGUCCACGCCGUAAACGAUGUCGAUUUGGAGGUUGUGCCCUUGAGGCGUGGCUUCCGGAGCUAACGCGUUAAAUCGACCGCCUGGGGAGUACGGCCGCAAGGUUAAAACUCAAAUGAAUUGACGGGGGCCCGCACAAGCGGUGGAGCAUGUGGUUUAAUUCGAUGCAACGCGAAGAACCUUACCUGGUCUUGACAUCCACAGAACUUUCCAGAGAUGGAUUGGUGCCUUCGGGAACUGUGAGACAGGUGCUGCAUGGCUGUCGUCAGCUCGUGUUGUGAAAUGUUGGGUUAAGUCCCGCAACGAGCGCAACCCUUAUCCUUUGUUGCCAGCGGUUCGGCCGGGAACUCAAAGGAGACUGCCAGUGAUAAACUGGAGGAAGGUGGGGAUGACGUCAAGUCAUCAUGGCCCUUACGACCAGGGCUACACACGUGCUACAAUGGCAUAUACAAAGAGAAGCGACCUCGCGAGAGCAAGCGGACCUCAUAAAGUAUGUCGUAGUCCGGAUUGGAGUCUGCAACUCGACUCCAUGAAGUCGGAAUCGCUAGUAAUCGUAGAUCAGAAUGCUACGGUGAAUACGUUCCCGGGCCUUGUACACACCGCCCGUCACACCAUGGGAGUGGGUUGCAAAAGAAGUAGGU